rnacentral:rRNA from 1 species
AGUGAACGCUGGCGGUAGGCCUAACACAUGCAAGUCGAACGGCAGCACAGUAAGAGCUUGCUCUUACGGGUGGCGAGUGGCGGACGGGUGAGGAAUACAUCGGAAUCUACUUUUUCGUGGGGGAUAACGUAGGGAAACUUACGCUAAUACCGCAUACGACCUACGGGUGAAAGCAGGGGAUCUUCGGACCUUGCGCGAUUGAAUGAGCCGAUGUCGGAUUAGCUAGUUGGCGGGGUAAAGGCCCACCAAGGCGACGAUCCGUAGCUGGUCUGAGAGGAUGAUCGGCCCCACUGGACCUGAGACACGGUCCAGAUUCCUACGGGAGGCAGAGGGGGGAAAUAUUGGCCAAUGGGCGAAAGCCUGACCCAGCCAUCCCGCGUGGGUGAAGAAGGCCUUCGGGUUGUAAAGCCCUUUGUUGGGAAAGAAAAGCAGCAGGUUAAUACCCCGCUGUUCUGACGGUACCCAAAGAAUAAGCACCGGCUAACUUCGUG